GAUGAACGCUGGCGGCGUGCCUAAUACAUGCAAGUCGAGCGAACGGACGCGAAUCUUGCGUCUCUGAUGUUAGCGGCACACGGGUGAGUAACACGUGUAUAACCUACCUAUCAGUCUGGGAUAACCUCGGGAAUCCGGAUCUAAUCCCGUAUAAUAUUUUGCACCGUAUGGUUCAUAAGUGAAAUACGGCCUUUCUGUCAGUUAUCGAUGGAUCUGCGCUGCAUUAGCUAGUUGGUACGGUAACGGCUUAUGACGGGAACGAUGCGUAGCCGACGUGAGAGGGUGAUAGCCGACCUUGGAACGGAGACAGGGUCAAGACGCCUAAGGGAGGCAGCAGUAGGGAAUGUGCCGCAGUGGGCGAAAGCCUGACGGAGCAACGCCGCGUGAGAGAUGAAGGUGUUCGGAUCGUAAAACUCUGUUAUGAGGGAAGAACAGAUGUGUAAGGAGCUGUGCACAUCCUGACGGUACCUAAUCAGAAAGCCACGGCUAACUACGUG
rnacentral:rRNA from 1 species